GAUGAACGCUGGCGGCGUGCCUAAUACAUGCAAGUCGAGCGAACGGACGAGAAGCUUGCUUCUCUGAUGUUAGCGGCGGACGGGUGAGUAACACGUGGAUAACCUACCUAUAAGACUGGGAUAACUUCGGGAAACCGGAGCUAAUACCGGAUAAUAUUUUGAACCGCAUGGUUCAAAAGUGAAAGACGGUCUUGCUGUCACUUAUAGAUGGAUCCGCGCUGCAUUAGCUAGUUGGUAAGGUAACGGCUUACCAAGGCAACGAUGCAUAGCCGACCUGAGAGGGUGAUCGGCCACACUGGAACUGAGACACGGUCCAGACUCCUACGGGAGGCAGCAGUAGGGAAUCUUCCGNCAUGGGCGAAAGCCUGACGGAGCAACGCCGCGUGAGUGAUGAAGGUCUUCGGAUCGUAAAACUCUGUUAUUAGGNAAGAACAUAUGUGUAAGUAACUGUGCACAUCUUGACGGUACCUAAUCAGAAAGCCACGGCUAACUACGUGCCAGCAGCCGCGGUAAUACGUAAGUGGCAAGCGUUAUCGGGAAUUUAUGGGCGUAAAGCGCGCGUAGGCGGUUUUUUAGUCUGAUGUGAAAGCCCACGGCUCAUCCGUGGAGGGUCAUUGGAAACUGGAAAACUUGAGUGCAGAAGAGGAAAGUGGAAUUCCAUGUGUAGCGGUGAAAUGCGCAGAGAUAUGGAGGAACACCAGUGGCGAAGGCGACUUUCUGGUCUGUAACUGACGCUGAUGUGCGAAAGCGUGGGGAUCAAACAGGAUUAGAUACCCUGGUAGUCCACGCCGUAAACGAUGAGUGCUAAGUGUUAGGGGGUUUCCGCCCCUUAGUGCUGCAGCUAACGCAUUAAGCACUCCGCCUGGGGAGUACGACCGCAAGGUUGAAACUCAAAGGAAUUGACGGGGACCCGCACAAGCGGUGGAGCAUGUGGUUUAAUUCGAAGCAACGCGAAGAACCUUACCAAAUCUUGACAUCCUUUGACAACUCUAGAGAUAGAGCCUUCCUCUUCGGGGGACAAAGUGACAGGUGGUGCAUGGUUGUCGUCAGCUCGUGUCGUGAGAUGUUGGGUUAAGUCCCGCAACGAGCGCAACCCUUAAGCUUAGUUGCCAUCAUUAAGUUGGGCACUCUAAGUUGACUGCCGGUGACAAACCGGAGGAAGGUGGGGAUGACGUCAAAUCAUCAUGCCCCUUAUGAUUUGGGCUACACACGUGCUACAAUGGACAAUACAAAGGGCAGCGAAACCGCGAGGUCAAGCAAAUCCCAUAAAGUUGUUCUCAGUUCGGAUUGUAGUCUGCAACUCGACUACAUGAAGCUGGAAUCGCUAGUAAUCGUAGAUCAGCAUGCUACGGUGAAUACGUUCCCGGGUCU
rnacentral:rRNA from 1 species